rnacentral:lncRNA from 1 species
AAAGUGGCCAGAUUUAGUUUCUAUUGCUUACAACCAAAAACCUCCAAGUUGAUUAGUUAUUACUUUGAGUCUAGAAGACUAUAUUUUCUCAAAAGUUUGGGAGAUAAAACUUCAUUUGAUUGGCAAGUACUUUAGACCAUUAACUUUAAAGAUAUGCAACAUGGAGUAAAAUAAAAAAUUCAUUUAGAAUGUUAAGAUACUGGAUGUGUGUGUGUGUGUGUGUAGAUUUUUAAAGAUCUGCUUUCUCCCACUUCACACUCUCUCUCCCUGCCCCAUGCAAGUUUCUUUAGCAAUGGGUUUAAGAUGCACUAGCAAAAAGAGUAACUUUCUUUAACUUUUAGGAUCUGAUUUCAAGCCAGGCAAGACUUACAGAGAAGUGCACCUGCCCUCAUCGGGAGCAAAUAAAUAAUCAAUUUCAAGCAAUAAAGUAUUGGGAGUGGGUUGUUAUUAUCAUCAAUAGAUAACUGACAGAUGUGCUUCAUGAAUUAUCACAAUAUUUCUACAUUCUUCUUUUAUAUAUAUAUACAUACAUACAUAUAUAUAUAUAUAUAUAUAGCUUUUCAGGGCCACACCCACAGCAUAUGGAAAUCCCUAAGCUAAGGAUCGAAUCAGAGCUGUAGCUGCUGGCCUAUACCACAGCCACAGCCACAGCCACAGCCACAGCCACAGCCACAGCCACACCAGAUCUGAGCCAAGUCUGCAACCUACACCACAGCUCACAGCAACACCGGAUCCUUAACCCACUGAGCAAGGCCAGGGAUUAAACCCAAAACCUCAUGGAUCCUAGUCAGUUUCAUUACCAUUGAGCCAUGACGAGAACUCCUCUACAUUCUUUUAUUCUACUCAUUUCUGAAAAUUUCCUAUGAACAAAUUUAAUACUCCAACGUUUCCAAAUAACUCUGUCACAGUCAGAUGUGGUUACACUUAUUCUUCACUGCCAAGUCAAUGUUCUAAUUCCACAGAAACAAUGAAAUGUAGCUCGGUCAGAACACAGAGGUUUUAAGCAGGGAGUAGAACAUACUCCAAAGUCAAAAUAGCUUAAAGUUGAGUUGAUAUUGAAAGAAACUCGGAGUUCCCGUUGUGGCGCAGUGGUUAACGAAUCCGACUAGGGACCAUGAGGUUAAGGGUUCGAUCCCUGGCCUCGCUCAGUGGGUUGGGAAUCCAACGUUGCCGCGGGCUGUGGUGUAGGUCGCAGACUCAGCUCAGAACCCGCAUUGCUCUGGCUGUGGUGUAGGCUGGCGGCAACAGCUCCGAUUCGACCCCUAGUCUGGGAACCUCCAUAUGCCAGGAGAGCAACCCUAGAAAAAAGCAAAAAAAAAAAAAAAAAAAAAAGGAAAGAAACUGGCUAAUGGAGUUCCUGUGUUGGCUCAGCGGAAACGAAUCUGACUAGUAUCGAUGAGGAUGCAGGUUCAAUCCCGGGCCUCGCUCAGUGGGUUAAGGAUCUGGUGUUGCCAUGAGCUGUGAUGUAGGUCAAAGAUGUGGCUCACACCUGGCAUGGUUGUGGCAUAGGCCAGGGACUACAGCUCCAAUUCAACCCCUAGCCUGGGAAACUUCAUAUGCCAUGGGUGCAGCCCUAAAAAAAUAAAAAGAAAGAAAGGAACUGGCUAAGUAAACGAAAAUGAAGCAGAUUUGCUAUGAUUCAUUUAAAAUCUAGAGAACUCAAAACAGAUUCUCUCUUUUGGGGGGGGGGAGUGGUAAGCACCGGAGGCAUAUGGAGGUUCCCAGGCUAGGGGAGCUGUAGCUGCCAGCUUAUGCCAGAGCAAAGCAACACCAGAUCUGAGCAGAGUCUGCAACCUACACCACUACUCACUGCAAUGCCAGAUCCCUAACCCACUGAGUGAGGCCAGGGAUCAAACCCACAACUUCAUGGUUACUAGCCAGAUUCAUUUCCACUGUGCCACAAUAGGAACUCCAAAACAGAUUCUCCCUUUAAUAGUUUCGUACCUGGAACUUCCUUCCAUAUACUUUAAUUUCCUUUUUUUUUUUUUUUUCCGGCCAUGCCCACAGCAUACACGGAAAUUCCCAAGCCAGGGAUGGAACUUGUGCCACAGCAAUGAAAAUGCUAGAUCCAUAACUUGCUGAGCCACCAGGGAACUCCCCUUCCAUAUACUUUAAAGAUGAUCAAACCCCUCUUUUAAAAGUUCACCACACACUGUCUAUAGAAAAUGCUUGCUUUAGGUCACCAUUCAUUCAACAACAUUUACAGAGCACCAACUAUGCCUGUGAGACCCUAAGCACUUUCUUUCCCCCUUGUUUUUGGAUAGUGUACCUAUAGAUACCAGGGUAAGAGAGCACAAUGGGCUAAAAGGAGACCACAUAUCUGUCUUGGUCAAGGUAACUGGACUGGCUGAUAACUGUGGCAAACAAGCCUCUGCCCUCAUGCAAACCUCUAUUGAGAAGGGAGCAAAUAAUAACUAGUAUUACUAUCAGCACCAAUAUUAUCACCAUCAUUACUGUUAUUAUUAUGCUCAUACCCCUCCCACCAUUUCUUUCUCCUUGGUUACUGCUAAGUAUAUGGCACCAUGCUAAGUAAGCACUUAUCUAAUUUAAUCCUCCCAACAGCUUAGCAAAGUACUACCCACAUUUUACAGAUGAAGAGACUGAGGUCUAACUCCUCAAAAGUAACACAGAAAGUCUUGGAGCUCAUGCUUUUAAACACUAGCCUUUACUCAUACCAUACAUAUGAAUUCCUCAUAUUUUAAUGAGAAUUUUAACAGGGGGAAAAAAUCCUUCAUAGUAAGAAAUGAGGCACAACUUAUUCUCUUUAGCAAUGUAAAUGUCUAUGUGCCUGAGUGUUUUUUCAGUGAGUUUGUUCUAAAAACUGAUAUUUGUUUGGUCCUCUAUAUAAUUUUUUUCUUUCCUGUUAUAAGAGUCUAGAAAAUAUUCUUGCUUAUUAGUAAUAUAGAAAAUAUUUUUAGGAUUUCCCCUUGUGACUCAGUGGUUAACAAAUCCGACUAGGAACCAGGAGGUUGUGGGUUCGAUCCCUGGCCUUGCUCAGUGGGUUAGGGAUCCAGCGUUGCCAUGAGUGUGGUGUAGGUUGCAGACUCGACUCAGAUCUGGUGUUGCUGUGGUGAGGGCUGGAGGCUAUAGCUCCAAUUAGACCUCUAGCCUGGGAACCUCCAAUAUGCUGCAGGUGUGGCCCCCAGAAGAGACAAUUAAUUAAUUAAUUAAUUAAAUAAGAAAAGAUUUUUAAAGGCAUAUGAGAAAGUAUAUUUCACUUCUCAUUCAAUACAACACAGUCCAUUGAGAGGAACUGGUCACCUCAGGGAAUGAAGUUUUAUUUAGCACAAACAGGAGAGGUUUUCAAUUAGUAUGUCUAUUCUUUAAUAAUUUCAUCAUUCUUCCGAGAUUAUAAAAGCAGUACAUCCUAGGUAAAAAAAAUUGAGAAAAAAGAUCACCCACAAUAUUAUUACCUAGAGAUAAUAAGCUCUUAUUAGUAUUUGGCAUACAUACUUUCUUUUAAGAUUUCUAUAUACAGAGCUUUUGUCCAUAUUAAAGAAAAUUAGGGAGCUCCCAUUGUGGCUCAGUGGGUUAUGAACCCGACUAGCAUACAUGAGGAUGCAGGUUUGAUUCCUGGCCUUGCUCAGUGGGUUAAGGAUCUGGCAUUGCUGUGAGCUGUGCUGUAGGUCGAAUAUGAGGCUCAGAUCCUGCAUUGCUGUGGCUAGUGGCGUAGGCUGGCAGCUGCAGCUCUGAUUCAACACCCUAGCCUGGGAACUUCCAUAUGCCAAAGGUGUGUCCCUGAAAAGCAAAAAAAAAAAAAAAAAAAAAAAAAAAAANAAAAUCAUACAUUAAGCAUAUUCUCAUCCCAUUCUGUUUUUCUAAAUAUCAUUCCAUAUCAAUAAAUAUUGGCCUCUACCAUCCUGUUUAAAGAUUGCACAGUAUUUCACUAUAUGGAUAGGCCCUAAUGACUUAAUCAAUCCUUUAUUAAUAGGGGUUUAGGUUACUUUCCAUGUUUUGCUGUUGCAAAAAACAGGGCAAUGAGCAAUCUGGUACAUAUGACUGUUUCUUUAAGAUAAAUUCCUAGACGAUAGCUUGUCAUUUUAUAACUCUGGAUCCAUAUUGCCCCAAGUGUCACCCAUAAAAUACAUACCAAAUUUACCUUUUUCAAAAGAAGGAAACCCUUAAAUUUAAGAGUAAUAGCAUAUUUUACAUUUCUAAUAUUUAGAUUAAGCAACCAAAAACUUUAAAAAUUCAAUUUAUCUCUAAAAAUCUAAAAUAUCAAUUCAUGCCUCUGAUAUUGCAUUAGAAUUACAUUUGGAGGGGGGGAAUUCUAAAAUACCUAAUAAACCGGUUUUGUUUUCAGCAUUUAUUAAUUUGAAAACUUAAACUCUGAAAAGAAUAUACUUGCUAUAAAACAAGCAAAUUAGUAGGGAAAACUAAAAGGCAAGGAGAGAGGCAA